GAAACCAAACUAAACCGGCAGUAUUAUCUAACCUAACCAAUAAUUCCUGAAUAAUCCUUAAAUCUUAUUCCAAAUCAAACCAAAUCCAGUCUUACAAUAGAAAUGAAUAACUUGAAUAAAUCCAAAAAUAAUCAGAAAACAAUAUCUUAAAAGAAAAUACGAAAAAUAGUUCUUAAAGCGAUAAAAAUCUUCCUCCAUCUCUGAAGGCACACCACACUAGAGCUACUCGUCUAGUUCCUCCCAGACAUCAUCACAAUCACAUUCAUCACACUCACCUGCAAUAUGGAUUUAAAAGAGAGGGGUGAGUAAUUUGGGGAAAUUACUCAGUGAGAACCAAACCAGACUCCCUUCCCACUCAUUUAUUUUCCACCAACAUGUCAAGAAUAAAUCCAACAAGCAACACACAAGCAUCCUAGCGAUGCACAAACAACUAGCAAGCAAUGAUGUCUCCAACCCGCCUAUCACACAAGGCCACACCUCCCAGUCACACAGCUUCAAAAUAAAUAGUCCCUCUGUAACACCCCGGUCCUGGGUUCCAAAGGAAACCAGACUAAACCGGCAGUAUUAUCUAACCUAACCAAUAAUUCCUGAGUAAUCCUUAAAUCUUAUUCCAAAUCAAACCAAAUCUAGUCUUACAAUAGAAAUGAAUAACUUGAAUAAAUCCGAAAAUAAUCAGAAAACAAUAUCUUAAAAGAAAAUACGAAAAAGAGUUCUUAAAGUGAUAAAAAUCUUCCUCCAUCUCUGAAGGCACACCACACAAGAGCUACUCGUCUAGUUCCUCCCAGACAUCAUCACAAUCACAUUCAUCACACUCACCUGCAAUAUGGAUUUAAAAGAGAGGGGUGAGUAAUUUGGGGAAAUUACUCAGUGAGAACCAAACCAGACUCCCUUCCCACUCAUUUAUUUUCCACCAACAUGUCAAGAAUAAAUCCAACAAGCAACACACAAGCAUCCUAGCGAUGCACAAACAACUAGCAAGCAAUGAUGUCUCCAACCCGCCUAUCACACAAGGCCACACCUCCCAGUCACACAGCUUCAAAAUAUCCAGUCCCUCUGUAACACCCCGGUCCUGAGUUCCAAAGGAAACCAGACUUAACCCGGCAGUAUUAUCUAACCUAACCAAUAAUUCCUGAGUAAUCCUUAAAUCUUAUUCCAAAUCAAACCAAAUCUAGUCUUACAAUAGAAAUGAAUAACUUGAAUAAAUCCGAAAAUAAUCAGAAAACAAUAUCUUAAAAGAAAAUACAAAAAAUAGUUCUUAAAGCGAUAAAAAUC
rnacentral:lncRNA from 1 species